rnacentral:rRNA from 1 species
AGAACGACUCUCGGCAACGAAUAUCUUGGCUCUCACAUCAAUGAAGAACGUAGCGAAAUGCGAUACUUGGUGUGAAUUGCAGAAUCCCGUGAACCAUCGAGUCUUUGAACACAAGUUGCGCCCGAAGCCUUCUGGCCGAGGGCACGUCUGUCUGGGCGUCACGC